rnacentral:rRNA from 1 species
AUUGAACGCUGGCGGCAUGCCUUACACAUGCAAGUCGAACGGUAACGGGUCCUUCGGGAUGCCGACGAGUGGCGAACGGGUGAGUAAUAUAUCGGAACGUGCCCAGUAGUGGGGGAUAACUGCUCGAAAGAGCAGCUAAUACCGCAUACGACCUGAGGGUGAAAGGGGGGGAUCGCAAGACCUCUCGCUAUUGGAGCGGCCGAUAUCAGAUUAGCUAGUUGGUGGGGUAAAGGCCUACCAAGGCAACGAUCUGUAGUUGGUCUGAGAGGGCGACCAGCCGGACUGGGACUGAGGCACGGCCCAGACUCCUACGGGAGGCAGCAGUGGGGAAUUUUGGACAAUGGGCGCAAGCCUGAUCCAGCAAUGCCGCGUGCAGGAAGAAGGCCUUCGGGUUGCAAACUGCUUUUGUCAGGGAAGAAAUCUUCUGGGCUAAUACCCCGGGAGGAUGACGGUACCUGAAGAAUAAGCACCGGCUAACUACGUGCCAGCCGCCGCAGUAA